rnacentral:rRNA from 1 species
CCUACGGGAGGCAGCAGUGAGGAAUAUUCGUCAAUGGGCGCGAGCCUGAUCCAGCGAAGUAGCGUGAAGGAUGACUGCCCUACGGGUUGUAAACUUCUUUUAUAAAGGAAUAAAGUGAGGCACGUGUGCCUUUUUGUACGUACUUUAUGAUUAAGGAUAGGCUAACUCCGUGCCAGCAGCCGCGGUAAUACGGAGGAUCCGAGCGUUAUCCGGAAUUAUUGGGUUUAAAGGGAGCGUAGAGGGGUUGUUAAGUCAUUUGUGAAAAUUUGUGGCUCAACCGUAAAAUUGCAAUUGAUACUGGCAGCCUUGAGUACAGUUGAGGUAGGCGGAAUUCGUGGUGUAGCGGUGAAAUGCGUAGAUAUCACGAAGAACUCCGAUUGCGAAGGCAGCUUACUAAACUGCCACUGACAUUGAUGCUCGAAAGUGUGGGUAUCAAACAGGAUUAGAUACCCGGGUAGUC